rnacentral:tRNA from 1 species
UGUCUUAGAUGGUAAAGUAUCUGUCUGAAAUGCAGGAGACUCAGGUUCGAUUCCUGG